rnacentral:ncRNA from 1 species
AUAUAGACAUCGAAAAGAAGAGUAGCAAAACUUGUUGUUCAAAGAGAGUCUCUGGUUGGUGCAAAGAGAUAGCGCAGGGUUGUGAAACACAUCUUGGAGUCGUUUUUCCGAAGAAUGCGUAGGAAAGGCCGGGUAUGCCCGUUAGCGCUGCAGUCAUUGAUAGAUGACUUUCUAAGAUCAGUUUGCUGUGAAGCACUGAUAAACAAAGGUGGAACCGCGUUGAUAACGUCCUUUAGCUGUAAUGGCUAGAGGACGUUUUUUUAUAGCCAAAAUCGGGACCAAUGCAAUUGGAAGAAAAUCAUCAGACUGCUUGAGGCUUUUUCUGAGAAGGAAAGGCAAAUUGAGGUGGAACCACGUGUAGCGCGUCCUCUGG